AGUGAACGCUGGCGGUAGGCCUAACACAUGCAAGUCGAACGGCAGCACAGUAAGAGCUUGCUCUUACGGGUGGCGAGUGGCGGACGGGUGAGGAAUACAUCGGAAUCUACUUUUUCGUGGGGGUUAACGUAGGGAAACUUACGCUAAUACCGCAUACGACCUACGGGUGAAAGCAGGGGAUCUUCGGACCUUGCGCGAUUGAAUUAGCCGAUGUCGGAUUAGCUAGUUGGCGGGGUAAAGGCCCACCAAGUCGACGAUCCGUAGCUGGUCUGAGAGGAUGAUCAGCCACACUGGAACUGAGACACGGUCCAGACUCCUACGGGAGGCAGCAGUGGGGAAUAUUGGACAAUGGGCGCAAGCCUGAUCCAGCCAUACCGCGUGGGUGAAGAAGGCCUUCGGGUUGUAAAGCCCUUUUGUUGGGAAAGAAAAGCAGCAGGUUAAUACCCCGCUGUUCUGACGGUACCCAAAGAAUAAGCACCGGCUAACUUCGUG
rnacentral:rRNA from 1 species